UCCAUCUCCAAUCUCAUCGUUCUCUCUCACUGCAAGACCUUGCCGCUCCUCCGCUCGUGUUGUACGACGAUCACCAUAACCAAGAAAACAUUUUUCAAUCUUUCCUUAAUGUCGUCUCUUUCGCAUCCCCUCUUCAUACUCCUUUCGACCGCCGUCUCUCCAGUAACUUCACUCAACCCAGACCCUCGAUCCCCUCCGCUAGACGCCUCUCUUGGGUUUCUCUUCAGGGGAGGCUCGUUAAGCCGAACAAGCCAGCUCCGUUCGAUCUAUUGGAGGCGGCUUUGGCCCUGACGAAGCCAUUGCUUGGCAGUUGUUCAGCCGCAUUGAACGGUUUCUUAUAGUUGUCGUCAUUGGUGUCGCGGUUUCUGAGCCAAGAGCAACCAUCAGAUCGGCCAGCUUAAACGAGCUGUUGAACUUAGGGAUCAAGUGCUUCUAAGCAUGCAACAGAAGCUUGAUGAUCUAUGUAAUCAAGUGAAUCCUGUUAAGGAUCAAUCUGGAACUGAAAAUGACUUUGAGAAAGAAUGCUGACUCUGGGAAUGAUAGAAUUAAGUUUGUUGAUUGUAGGUGUUGGCCUUGCGAUGAGCAUCUGGAUUUACUCAGUCCUUUGGAGAUUUCUCACAACAAUCUUUACUUCAUUGCUUCCAAUGCGUACUGAUUAUUUCUUAACUCCGGAGUGCGAAUGGAGGUUGCUGGUCAUGGAUUUAUCCCAAAUACCAUGAACAAGAUGAAUGAACAAGAGGCUACUCUACCAUGCACUCAAACAAAGUAAAAAACAGAAGCCAUAGGUAUAUAAGGUUAUGGAAAUGAAG